GACGAACGCUGGCGGCGUGCCUAAUACAUGCAAGUAGAACGCUGAAGGAGGAGCUUGCUUCUCUGGAUGAGUUGCGAACGGGUGAGUAACGCGUAGGUAACCUGCCUGGUAGCGGGGGAUAACUAUUGGAAACGAUAGCUAAUACCGCAUAAGAGUAGAUGUUGCAUGACAUUUGCUUAAAAGGUGCAAUUGCAUCACUACCAGAUGGACCUGCGUUGUAUUAGCUAGUUGGUGAGGUAACGGCUCACCAAGGCAACGAUACAUAGCCGACCUGAGAGGGUGGUCGGCCACACUGGGACUGAGACACGGCCCAGACUCCUACGGGAGGCAGCAGUAGGGAAUCUUCCGCAAUGGACGGAAGUCUGACCGAGCAACGCCGCGUGAGUGAAGAAGGUUUUCGGAUCGUAAAGCUCUGUUGUAAGAGAAGAACGAGUGUGAGAGUGGAAAGUUCACACUGUGACGGUAUCUUACCAGAAAGGGACGGCUAACUACGUG
rnacentral:rRNA from 1 species